AGCAUUGAUGGUAAGAGAAAAGUUAACAAUUUCAAGUAUAUGUAUACAAAUAAAGCAGGGAACAAGGAGAAACAUGACAUUGCUCUAUUUCCAGCUCUGUUCCCUUCCUGAAAGCUAGCGUCUGGCAUGCCUGUUGGUUAAUUUCCAGAAGAGUGCCUGGGCAGCAUUAUAUGUCCUCUUUCAUUACAUAAAUUAGCUUCAAGUAUAUAAAUGUAAAUAAACCAAUGAGGCAGAACUUCAUUUCAGUUAUUUAACUCUCCAUUGGUGUGCAUGGGUGCCAGAGGUAAAACGCAAAUUCAUCUAGUUUCUACAGGACAUUCUGUUUUCAGCGGACACAAGAUUUUAAUUUAUGCCCUUUCCCCAUAUGCAUUUCUGAGUGUGCUCAACAGAAGGUGUGUGGAGAGUGUUUGUUCUCAGAGUUUGUCUGCUGGCUCCUUUACGACUGGAGAACAGGUAGUAAAAGAACUCCAGAGACUUGCCUACAUCAGUGAAAAGAAAGAAGCUGCAAGAAGUCUGACCACUAAGGUAAGGGAAACUACUAAGGUAAGGGAAACAUUUCUUCAGUCACAUUUUUACCGCCAACAAUGGAUUUUUUUUUUUUUAAAGUGAAAUGUAAGAAGUCAGGGAAUAUCAAGUGCUGGCAAUUAUUAUUAUCCUUUGUGUGUACUUGAUAUGUGUGAAUUUGAAAAAUGAUUUUAAUAUUGGGAAUUUUAAAAGAAUGACUAGGGGGAGGCGUGCAGUUGUUCUGAAAGGCCUUUAUGCGUGUACCCUACUAGGCGCUGAAGGAAAUGAUGGGUCACAGAUGUAGUCCCAUUCUUUCUAAUUCUCUGAAGAUCUAGGACUAUUGCUUUCCUGACAUGACAUCCCUCCUGAUGUAUCUUUCUAGAACAUCGCAAUUACUAUUUUCACUGCCAAUCUUGUAGCACGCAUUCCGUGCCUCUGACUUGAUCUGGGCUCAUUUGAAGGAUAAUGGACUGACUGCUAUCUCAGCAAACUGAUUCCAAAGGUAAUUGUAAUUUAUGAUCUAUAUGUAUCAUCACUAUUUUCUAAACGGGAAAGUGUGAUGAAAGAAUCAAAUCACUGGCAUUUUCUUUUUAAGGUGUCUACUACACUGACAUCUCCAAAAGUAGGCUUUGCCACAUAACUCAUAAGUUUUGGUUAUUUGAUAGAUUUAUAUAAAUGGCAGGUCAAUUACAAUUAUUAUAUCCAUUUAAGAGAAAAGAAAACAAAGGCCAAGGAGUUUGAUUUCCUUGAGCAAUACAGGCCAUGAUAUAGUAAAGGAGUGUGAUGUGGAUGACCUGUUAAAAUUCACAUGUGCUGCAGUGGAUGAUGUCUGUGACUAUGGAAAGAGUAAAUAAAAAGAUUGAUAGAAAUAUCCCUGUCCUUGAUUACUUCAAAUGUUUUAAAUUGAAAAGUAUAUGCAACUGAUUAACAAAAUGUAUUUAUAAAUGCUGGAUUUGUAAACUUAAUAUAUUAAUAUAAAAUAUGACCUGUAUAUUUGUUGAGUAUAGAAAAUCGAUGUAUAUAGACUAAUAGAAACCUAGCAUAUAAAAAAGCUAAAAUUAUAUCAUAGAAAAAGUUAACUGAAAUAUUUCUGAUAGUUUACUAGGAACAGCAAGAAGAUUUUUUACCAAGAGACUACAAAUUACCUAAUGCAAUUAAAGUAAUAGGAAAUUCUUAAGGAUAAUUUACUAAUGUUUUUCUGGCAAAUCAUGGCUCUUAGAGGUAAAAUUCUUAUCAGUUGCUAUUUCAUUUUUCUUCAUAUGUGUGUGAAAGAAGGAAAUCUUUUGAAGAAAUAUCUUUUUAUAUAUCUUAAAGAGUUCUACUACUCCUUUAUAGCAGGGAACAUACUGUGUUUUUGUCUGUUUUCAGAGCACUUAUUAAAAUUUCCAUCAUGUUGUAGAUUAUUAAUCAAUAGAGAAUAUAUAUUGAUAAGCAUAAAACACUUAUUUUACGUGAAACAAUGGACUCGAUAUUGCCCUGGAUUUAAUCUUGAAUAUUUAUGUUCUUGACCAGUUUCCUUAAACUCUUUGAGGAUCAAUUUUCUCAUUUAAAAAUAAGGAACAUAAUAUAUGCCAAUUAACCAUAAUGGGUAUUUUUAUGGAUAUCAAAUGAUAAAAUGUAUAUGAAAUGACUGCUUUAUAUACUUUUCUAUUAGAAAACUAGGUACUAUAACAUCAACUAUU
rnacentral:lncRNA from 9 species